CGCAGUGAUGACAUCUGGAUCCGAUCUCCUUUCCUGAAUCCGCCAUUGUUGCAGACAUUAAAAGAUCAUAAAACGAGAAUUAUUUAUGGAUUUUUCUUCUCCUUCUUUCUGAGUG
rnacentral:misc_RNA from 1 species